rnacentral:rRNA from 1 species
CGUAGGGCGCGAGCGUUGUCCGGAUUUAUUGGGCGUAAAGAGCUCGUAGGCGGCUUGUCGCGUCGAAUGUGAAAACUCGGGGCUCAACUCCGAGCUUGCAUUCGAUACGGGCAGGCUAGAGUUCGGUAGGGGAGACUGGAAUUCCUGGUGUAGCGGUGAAAUGCGCAGAUAUCAGGAGGAACACCGGUGGCGAAGGCGGGUCUCUGGGCCGAUACUGACGCUGAGGAGCGAAAGCGUGGGGAGCGAACAGG